UCACAGCCGCUGUGAUCAGUUGAUGCUUCCCACCUUCGUCUCCGUCAGCAGUCCUUGUUAACACAGACAAAAAGUAAUAUUGCUUCCCACUGAUUGUUGGGGUUGAAGACUCCAAUAUGUUGGCUGUUGCCACAACAUUCGGAUCAAAGCCUCCCUCAGCUUCUGUUUUGCCAAAGUAAGCCUGUUUUCCUAGUAAAAAAU
rnacentral:misc_RNA from 1 species